rnacentral:tRNA from 1 species
CAACAUGUAGCUUAACUAAAGCAUCUCGCUUACACCGAGAAAAUAUCUGUUGAACCCAGAUCAUUUUGA